ACAUCCAAGGAAGGCAGCAGGCGCGUAAAUUACCCAAUCCUAACACAGGGAGGUAGUGACAAUAAAUAACGAUACGGAACCCAUGUGGUUUUGUAAUUGGAAUGAGAACAAUUUAAAUCCCUUAUCGAGGAUCAAUUGGAGGGCAAGUCUGGUGCCAGCAGCCGGGGUAAUUCCAGCUCCAAUAGCGUAUAUUAAAGUUGUUGCAGUUAAAAAGCUCGUAGUUGAAUUUCUGG
rnacentral:rRNA from 1 species